CAAUAGCGUAUAUUAAAGUUGUUGCGGUUAAAAAGCUCGUAGUUGGAUUUCUGCUGAGGACGACCGGUCCGCCCUCCGGGUGAGCAUCUGGUUCGGCCUUGGCAUCUUCUUGGUGAACGUAGCUGCACUUGACUGUGUGGUGCGGUACCCAGGACUUUUACCUUGAGGAAAUUAGAAUGUUUCAAACAGGCGCACGCCUUGAAUACAUUAGCAUGGAAGAAUAAGAUAAGACCUCGGUUCUAUUUUGUUGGUUUCUAGAGCUGAGGUAAUGAUUAAUAAGGAUAAUUCGAGGCACUCGUAUUUAACUGUCAAAAAUUAAUUCUUGGAUUUGUUAAAGACGGACUACUGCGAAAGCAUUUGCCAAGGAUGUUUCAUUGA
rnacentral:rRNA from 1 species